UACGUAGGGGGCAAGCGUUGUCCGGAUUUAUUGGGCGUAAAGAGCGUGUAGGCGGCUAGGUAGGUCCGUUGUGAAAACUCGAGGCUCAACCUCGAGACGUCGAUGGAAACCAUCUGGCUAGAGUCCGGAAGAGGAGAGUGGAAUUCCUGGUGUAGCGGUGAAAUGCGCAGAUAUCAGGAAGAACACCCGUGGCGAAGGCGGCUCUCUGGUACGUGACUGACGCUGAGACGCGAAAGCGUGGGAGCGAACAGG
rnacentral:rRNA from 1 species